CAGAGCCGUAGCAACGAUUAUGAGGGCCGCCCGCGGGAAAAAAAAAGGGCCACUCUAGAAAAGUGUAUACUACUUAUAAAAAAAUUUAACCAUAAAAAAAAACAAAAAACAAAAAAAAACCUUCUCUCACGCUUCAGGUGAUUCGAACUCAUGACCUAAGAUAUGUGGUGUAUGACAUAAUACCACUAGGCUACCAAAACACAUUGGUAUUUGAGGGCCGAAAAUAUUAAUAACUUCUCGGAGGGCCGCAGCUCCCGCUUCUCUUGCUUCUAUCCAGCUACGGCUCUGU
rnacentral:lncRNA from 1 species